rnacentral:lncRNA from 1 species
GGCUGACUCUCUUUUCGGACUCAGCCCGCCUGCACCCAGGUGAAAUAAACAGCCUUGUUGCUCACACAAAGCCUGUUUGGUGGUCUCUUCACACAAACGCGCAUGAAAUUUGGUGCCAUGACUCGGAUCGGGGUACCUCCCUUGGGAGAUCAAUCCCCAGUCCUCCUGCUCUUUGCUCCGUGAGAAAGAUCUACCUAGGACCUCAGGUCCUCAGACUGACCAGCCCAAGGAACAUCUCACCAAUUUCAAAUCUGGAACGCGCAUGAAAAAACCAAACAAACAAAAAAAUUUCUUUUGGUAGCAGAAUAAAAAAACAAAAAAAAGGACUUUUUCUUCUGGACUGAACUAUAUUUAAAUCUCAAAGGAUGGACAUCUCACAACCUUCCUACAGCAAGUACUGUGAGAGCUGCAUCUUGUCCCACUGGAUGGUCUUCAGAGACAAUAAUACAUAAUGGAGCUGUCAUCUCCUAUGAUAACAAUGCCUUCUUCUGGAUACCUCCUGAAGGACCUGCCUGAGGCUCUUUCACUCCAUGUAAAGGUGUGCUGCUUUCCCUUUGCCUUCCGCCAUUAUUGAAAGUUUCCUGAGGCCUCCCCAGCCAUGCUACCUGUACGACCUGUGAAACCAUAAGCCAAUUAAAAAAGAUACUAGCGCCAGUCUGGCAGGGGCCUUUUCUAGUCUCAAGCACGCUGAGCAGUCCUACACCUUGCCUUCUGAGAGAGAAGAGGACAGUCCUCAGCCUCCUGAAGCCUGGCAAGGGUGCCUUAGUGAGGACAUCACCUGCAACUCCCAGAUGGAUAGACGAGGCCAUGGAGAGAGGAGAACACCAACCCAUGAGUGACAAGUGCCUGUCAUUGUCAAUGAUGCUGCAAGCACCACGAUGCCCCUUCUUAGCAGGGACCCAGUGGGCCUUACCAGCUUCAUUAUUUUCUAGGCAUGAUCGCAUCCUGUCUCCCAUUUUUGCUAAAAUUCUAUCUAGAGAAAGAGCUCAUUUUUAGCUAAAAAAAAAAAAAUCCUGUUUUAUCUGCUAAAAAAUCACAUAAAAUAACUAUUGGACUGU